UAGCCACAGCGUCAAACUAUUGCUGCCC
rnacentral:piRNA from 1 species